rnacentral:rRNA from 1 species
UUCCCCCAGUAGCGGCGAGCGAACGGGGAGCAGCCCAGAGUCUGAAUCAGCAUGUGUGUUAGUGGAACGGUCUGGAAAGUCCGACGGUACAGGGUGAUAGUCCCGUACACAAAAAUGCACAUGUUGUGAACUCGAAGAGUAGGGCGGGACACGUGGUAUCCUGUCUGAAUAUGGGGGGACCAUCCUCCAAGGCUAAAUACUCCUGACUGACCGAUAGUGAACCAGUACCGU